CCUUUCUUAGCUUUUUAGGGUAGGUAGCAUCGUAGCCUAACCCCUUAGCCCCUUUUGUUGACUUUUAGUUUUUAGUUUUACAAUUUUAAAAAACGUGUGUAAAGUUUGAUUGUAAAGAUUGCUUUUCGUUCUAUAAAUAAAGAAGGCAGAAGGCAUUGCAAAGGCAAGCCUUCAUGCGUUGAAGCAAACAUUCUCUCCACUCCACA
rnacentral:lncRNA from 1 species